rnacentral:rRNA from 1 species
AGGAAAAGAAACCAACUGGGAUUACCUUAGUAACGGCGAGUGAAGCGGUAAAAGCUCAAAUUUGAAAUCUGGUACUUUCAGUGCCCGAGUUGUAAUUUGUAGAAUUUGUCUUUGAUUAGGUCCUUGUCUAUGUUCCUUGGAACAGGACGUCAUAGAGGGUGAGAAUCCCGUUUGGCGAGGAUACCUUUUCUYUGUAAGACUUUUUCGAAGAGUCGAGUUGUUUGGGAAUGCAGCUCAAAGUGGGUGGUAAAUUCCAUCUAAAGCUAAAUAUUGGCGAGAGACCGAUAGCGAACAAGUACAGUGAUGGAAAGAUGAAAAGAACUUUGAAAAGAGAGUGAAAAAGUACGUGAAAUUGUUGAAAGGGAAGGGCAUUUGAUCAGACAUGGUGUUUUUUGCAUGCACUCGCCUCUCGUGGGCUUGGGCCUCUCAAAAAUUUCACUGGGCCAACAUCAAUUCUGGCAGCAGGAUAAAUCAUUAAGAAUGUAGCUACUUCGGUAGUGUUAUAGCUUUUUGGAAUACUGUUAGCCGGGAUUGAGGACUGCGCUUCGGCAAGGAUGUUGGCAUAAUGGUUAAAUGCCGCCCGU